rfam:Omnitrophica bacterium RIFCSPLOWO2_01_FTLL_50_24 rifcsplowo2_01_scaffold_26623, whole genome shotgun sequence.
GCUGGAGUGGCGGAACUGGCAGACGCGCACGAUUCAGGGUCGUGUGGGGAAACCCGUGCAGGUUCAACUCCUGUCUCCAGCA